rnacentral:rRNA from 1 species
CGCUNANUUUCUCUCUCANCGCCAGUAACNNCCCCCUCCGAUGUCAUACACUGUUUCNUNNNCCCUUAACCUGGUUGAUCCUGCCAGUAGUCAUAUGCUUGUCUCAAAGACUAAGCCAUGCAUGUCUAAGUAUAAAUAACUACACAGUAAAACUGCGAAUGGCUCAUUAAAACAGUUAUAGUUUAUUUGAUACAACAAAUGGAUAACUGUAGAAAAACUAGAGCUAAUACAUGCCGAAGCCGCAAGGUUGUAUUUAUUAGAUAUACCCAGUAGGUGAUUCAUAAUAACUAUGCAAAUCGUAACUCUGUUACGAUAAAUCAUUCAAGUUUCUGCCCUAUCAGCUUUCGAUGGUAGUGUAUUGGACUACCAUGGCUUUCACGGGUAACGGAGAAUUAGGGUUCGAUUCCGGAGAAGGAGCCUGAGAAACGGCUACUACAUCUAAGGAAGGCAGCAGGCGCGUAAAUUACCCAAUCCUGACUCAGGGAGGUAGUGACAAGAUAUAAUGACGCGAUUUAAUAUCGUGAUUGUAGUGAGGGUAUUCCAAACCGAACUUCUAGUACGAUUGGAGGGCAAGUCUGGUGCCAGCAGCCGCGGUAANNNNNGCUCCAAUAGCGUAUAUUAAAGUUAUUGCAGUUAAAAAGCUCGUAGUUGGAUUUCAAGGUGUGCGUCUUAUGCANAUAANUUCGCUACCUACCANUCCGAAAGGACUGUUACUGUGAGAAAAUUANAGUGUUUCAAGCANGCUAUUGCANNAAUACAUUANCAUGGAAUAACGAAUGGGUCUAGAAUCUUGGUUUAAUUCUAUAUUACGAUUAAUAGGGACAGUUGGGGGCAUUANUAUUUAAUUGUCAGANGNGAAAUUCUUGNAUNUGUUACGACUAACNUAUGCNAAAANNNUUGCCAAGGNUGUUUUCAUUAAUCANGAACGAAAGAUAGGGAUCAAAGACNAUCANAUACCGUCNUANUCCUAUCUAUNAACGAUGCCNACU